rnacentral:rRNA from 1 species
UACGUAGGGUGCAAGCGUUAAUCGGAAUUACUGGGCGUAAAGCGUGCGCAGGCGGUUUUGUAAGUCUGAUGUGAAAUCCCCGGGCUCAACCUUUGAAUGUCAGUGGAUACUGCCGGGCUAGAGUCCGGAAGAGGCGAGUGGAACUCCUGGUGUAGCGGUGGAAUGCGCAGAUAUCAGGAAGAACACCAACGGCGAAGGCAGCUCGCUGGGACGGUACUGACGCUGGAGAACGCGAAAGCGUGGGGAGCGAACAGG